GCGAGGGACGGCGACCGGCCUUUCGCCGUGCACGCUGGGAGCUGUAGUCCAAUGGCGCCACUCGCGAGCACGCGCAGCGGGCGGGUUACCGCCAGGAGUCGGGGCGUUGUCCAGGCGCUGACUUCCGAACCGGCCGCCGAGCGAGUCUGAAGACUUUUGCCAGUGUCCAAGAGAAUGUUUUUCCAGUGAUAUGAAAAGAAAUGGAAUCUGAUCUCCAGGGUAGUAAUGGCUGCCAGUCAGCCAGGCUGGUGACAGAAAUCAUGGCUGCAACAAGGAGUCCCCAGGCAUACCCAUCCCAAGGAAGGACUGCUACCAGGGACAGAAAUCAGGCCUUCCCAGCACCAGCCCUGACUCAGAAGCCUCCCACCAACGCUUCAGGCAGUUCUGCUGCCAAGAGGUAGCCGGCCCCCGUGAAGCCUCUGGGAACUCUGCUGUCAGUGGCUAAGGCCUAAGACACACUCAAGAGAGCAGAUGUUGGAGCUCUUGGAUUUGGAGCAGUUUCCAACCAUCUUACCGGAGGAGAUCCAGACCUGGGUGAGGGAGCAACACCCAGAAAAUGGCGAGGAAGCUGUGGCUCUGGUUGAGGAUGUACAGAGCGCAUCUGGCCAGCAGGUGAGGACAGGCAUUCAGGACCUGCUGAGUUUCGUUACGAAGAACUGAGCGAGAAGCACAGGAAUCUGCUUAGUGGAGAGGAGCUUGAGCUGAGAAAUGCACAGUAGCGCUCUGUCCGCCACCAGAAACCAUGAGCUGGCUUGGGGUGGUCCCUGCCCUUCGUCUUUGGGGAGAAUUUCUCGUUUGCUGCAAUAACGUAGACACAGAUAUAUUCAGUUUAUGUUUAAGGUCCCUAAUACAAAUGUAAAACCUCAGAAUACUUUCCAACAGAAGGUCAGGGAAAGGACAACUAUCCCUCACCCACGGAGUUGGUGAGUUAAAAUCCAGUGUCUCUUGCUGAAAGUCUCCUUGAGGGCAGAUGCCAUGUGUUAUUCACUAAAUAAAGUUGCAUUAGAGCUGC